ensembl:lncRNA
CCAGGAUUUAUCUUAUUAAAACAAUGAACAACAAACAGAACAAGCAUCAAACAAACAACACCAGAAUUAAAUAACAAUUGCAACAACAAGUGCAACUUUGCAAAAAGGCUCAUUUUUUUUUGCUUUUUGGCAACAAAACCAUAUGCUUGAAGCUUGGUUACACCGAAUGCACGUUUUAGUGGUAGUAGUGCAGUGGCUCUGGGUCCAGGAAUGAUGAGGGAGGAGGAGGAGGAGGAGGCUGUGGCUGCAGUGGCUCUGGGUCCAGGAGUAGUGAGGGAGGAGGAGGAGGAGGCUGUGGGUGCAGUGGCUCUGGGUCCAGGAGUGGUGAGGGAGGAGGAGGAGGCUGUGGCUGCAGUGGCUCUGGGUCCAGGAGUGGUGAGGGAGGAGGAGGAGGCUGUGGCUGCAGUGGCUCUGCGUCCAGGAGUGGUGAGGGAGGAGGAGGCUGUGGCUGCAGUGGCUCUGGGUCCAGGAGUGGUGAGGGAGGAGGAGGAGGAGGAGGCUGUGGCUGCAGUGGCUCUGGGUCCAGGGGUGGAGGAGGAGGCUCUAGCAGCAGCAGAAGAGGUGGAACCUUUCUUUACUUUUCUUAUUCUAACUGCUGAAAGGACCUUCACAGUUUCUCUCAGUUUCCUUUCCUUUUGUUUGUUAAUGAUCUCCUUCUUCUUCUGCAAAUGGUUCUGGUAUCGCUCAUAAGAGGACAGGCAAGAACUCCUCAGUGCAGGGCUAAUUUCCAUUUUGGAUGCUGUUGUCCCUGUUGCCUUCAUGUGGGACUUGAUGAUGGCUAAGCCUUCAUAUGUCUCAAUGUUCAACCUGACCCUAUCAUUCUCAAUGAUGUCAUCCAUGAUGUUAAAUGAUCCUUCAAUAAGAGGGCCAGUGAACAAUGACAGAACAGCCUUUACCAACUUCCCCAAGACAGGGAAUCUCAACCCUCCUCCUGGUGUCUUGCUUGCAAGUAUUUUACUCCACCAGUCAACAUCAAUUUGUGAAGUAUUUUCUUCAUAGCACUUGGCCUGUGCCCCAAGAUCUGAGUCAAUCUGGUAGGCUCGCACCUCAUCAUCCAGUUGACCAAGCUCCUCUGAUUUAACCACAUUUGGCAAAGCUUUGGCUAGGGUGUUGAAUGCUCCUUGGACAGAUUCCUCGAGAAUCAUUGAUGGUGCCAGCGCAGACAAAGAGGUGAUGGUGUGAUUCCUCAGUGGAAGGUUUUUCAGGAGGAAUGUUGCUGCCUUGAUGUAGCCUACUCUGAGAGAGCUGUAGAUGUUCUGAACCCAGAUCUUCUUCUCCACUCUAGCCUUGUUCAGGGCAAAGAAGCUGUAUCUCCCCACAGACAACUUUUUGUCAGGGUAUUGCAGCUCUCUGUUCUGGACAUCAAGCUUCAGCAAAAUUCAUUCACCCUCAUGGAGAUGGCUUCAGGCUUCAUGAAUUUAGAGAGGAGUUCCCUGACCAGCAACACCAUCUCAGCAUGCAACACAUGGAGCAUGGGUUUCUCAUGUUGCAACUUCUUCAGGAACACCUGG